GCUGUGGGGGUGACGCAGAGGGGCUGGAAACCACCAGGAGCCAGAAGUUUGCACAAGCCCCUGCCCCGUCGUGGGCCGCUGGAGCUCCGUCAUCUCGCGGCGCUUCCUGCCCGUUCCCAGGCUCGGUGCUACAGUGCUUUCCUGCUUCCUUCCUCAGCCUGGGGCAGACAGGAAUUUAUAGCUGAGACCAGCCUCACUGAGUGCCAGCAAGAGAGAUCUGGCAGCUUUAAAGGUGUUUCUGGACGUGGCUUACUCCAUCCUACUCCACUGAGGCAUUUGGGAUUGCUCAGCCUGGAAAGGAGAAGGCCUCAGGGUGACCUUGUGGUACCUGAGGAGAACUUACAGGAAAGGUGGGGCAGGGCUUUUUUACAGGAGCAUUUAGCAACAGGACAAGGGGGAAUGAGUUCAAAUUGAAGGAGAGUAGGUUUGGAUUGGAUUUUAGGGGAAAAUUCAUUGCUGUGAGGGUGGUGAGGCCCUGGCACCAGAGAAGCUGUAGCUGCCCCAUCCCUGGAGGUGCUCAAAGCCAAGUCGGAUGGAGCUUGGAGAAACCUGACCUAGUGGAAGGCGUCCCAGCCCAUGGUUGGAACGAGAUGAUCUUCAUGGUUGGAACGAGGUCCCCUUC
rnacentral:lncRNA from 1 species